rnacentral:rRNA from 1 species
UACAGAGGGGGCAAGCGUUGUUCGGAAUUACUGGGCGUAAAGGGCGCGUAGGCGGCCUUCUAAGUCGAACGUGAAAUCCCCGGGCUCAACCCGGGAACUGCGUCCGAUACUGGAAGGCUUGAAUCCGGGAGAGGGAUGCGGAAUUCCAGGUGUAGCGGUGAAAUGCGUAGAUAUUAGGAGGAACACCGGUGGCGAAGGCGGCUUUCUGGACAGUAACUGACGCUGAGGCGCGAAAGCCGGGGGGAGCAAACAGG